AAAUUGAAGAGUUUGAUCAUGGCUCAGAUUGAACGCUGGCGGCAGGCCUAACACAUGCAAGUCGAGCGGUAGCACAGAGAGCUUGCUCUCGGGUGACGAGCGGCGGACGGGUGAGUAAUGUCUGGGAAACUGCCUGAUGGAGGGGAUAACUACUGGAAACGGUAGCUAAUACCGCAUAAUGUCGCAAGACCAAAGUGGGGACCUUCGGGCCUCAUGCCAUCAGAUGUGCCCAGAUGGGAUUAGCUAGUAGGUGGGGUAACGGCUCACCUAGGCGACGAUCCUAGCUGGUCUGAGAGGAUGACCAGCCACACUGGAACUGAGACACGGUCCAGACUCCUACGGGAGGCAGCAGUGGGGAAUAUUGCACAAUGGGCGCAAGCCUGAUGCAGCCAUGCCGCGUGUGUGAAGAAGGCCUUCGGGUUGUAAAGCACUUUCAGCGGGGAGGAAGGCGUUAAGGUUAAUAACCUUGGCGAUUGACGUUACCCGCAGAAGAAGCACCGGCUAACUCCGUGCCAGCAGCCGCGGUAAUACGGAGGGUGCAAGCGUUAAUCGGAAUUACUGGGCGUAAAGCGCACGCAGGCGGUCUGUCAAGUCGGAUGUGAAAUCCCCGGGCUCAACCUGGGAACUGCAUUCGAAACUGGCAGGCUAGAGUCUUGUAGAGGGGGGUAGAAUUCCAGGUGUAGCGGUGAAAUGCGUAGAGAUCUGGAGGAAUACCGGUGGCGAAGGCGGCCCCCUGGACAAAGACUGACGCUCAGGUGCGAAAGCGUGGGGAGCAAACAGGAUUAGAUACCCGGUAGUCCACGCCGUAAACGAUGUCGAUUUGGAGGUUGUGCCCUUGAGGCGUGGCUUCCGGAGCUAACGCGUUAAAUCGACCGCCUGGGAGUACGGCCGCAAGGUUAAAACUCAAAUGAAUUGACGGGGCCCGCACAAGCGGUGGAGCAUGUGGUUUAAUUCGAUGCAACGCGAAGAACCUUACCGUCUUGACAUCCACAGAACUUUCCAGAGAUGGAUUGGUGCCUUCGGGAACUGUGAGACAGGUGCUGCAUGGCUGUCGUCAGCUCGUGUUGUGAAAUGUUGGGUUAAGUCCCGCAACGAGCGCAACCCUUAUCCUUUGUUGCCAGCGGUUAGGCCGGGAACUCAAAGGAGACUGCCAGUGAUAAACUGGAGGAAGGUGGGGAUGACGUCAAGUCAUCAUGGCCCUUACGACCGGGCUACACACGUGCUACAAUGGCAUAUACAAAGAGAAGCGACCUCGCGAGAGCAAGCGGACCUCAUAAAGUAUGUCGUAGUCCGGAUUGGAGUCUGCAACUCGACUCCAUGAAGUCGGAAUCGCUAGUAAUCGUAGAUCAGAAUGCUACGGUGAAUACGUUCCCGGGCCUUGUACACACCGCCCGUCACACCAUGGGAGUGGGUUGCAAAAGAAGUAGGUAGCUUAACCUUCGGGAGGGCGCUUACCACUUUGUGAUUCAUGACUGGGGUGAAGUCGUAACAAGGUAACCGUAGGGGAACCUGCGGUUGGAUCACCUCCUUACCUUAAAGAA
rnacentral:rRNA from 1 species